rnacentral:rRNA from 1 species
GUAACACGUAGGUAACCUGCCCAUGUGCCCGGGAUAACUUCUGGAAACGGAUGCUAAAACCGGAUAGGUAGCAGACAAGCAUUUGACUGCUAUUAAAGUGGCUAAGGCCAUGAACAUGGAUGGACCUGCGGUGCAUUAGCUAGUUGGUGAGGUAACGGCCCACCAAGGCGACGAUGCAUAGCCGGCCUGAGAGGGCGGACGGCCACCAUUGGGACUGAGACACGGCCCAAACUCCUACGGGAGGCAGCAUG